rnacentral:rRNA from 1 species
CCUACGGGAGGCAGCAGUGGGGAAUCUUGCGCAAUGGGCGAAAGCCUGACGCAGCAACGCCGCGUGCGGGAAGAAGGCUUUCGGGCUGUAAACCGCUUUCAGCAGGAACGAAAAUGACGGUACCUGCAGAAGAAGGAGCGGCCAACUAUGUGCCAGCAGCCGCGGUGAUACAUAGGCUUCAAGCGUUGUCCGGAUUUAUUGGGCGUAAAGAGUUCGUAGGCGGUCGAGUAAGUCGGGUGUGAAAAUUCUGGGCUCAACCCAGAGACGCCACCCGAUACUGCUUGACUUGAGUUCGAUAGGGGAGUGGGGAAUUCCUAGUGUAGCGGUGAAAUGCGCAGAUAUUAGGAGGAACACCGGUGGCGAAGGCGCCACUCUGGAUCGAUACUGACGCUGAGGAACGAAAGCAUGGGUAGCAAACAGGAUUAGAUACCCUGGUAGUCCAUGCCGUAAACGGUGGGCACUAGGUGUGGGUUUCUAUUAACGAAAUCCGCGCCGUCGCUAACGCAUUAAGUGCCCCGCCUGGGGAGGUACGGUCGCGAGACGUAAACGUUAAAGGUAAAGUUAGUAACGGUCGUGAGACGUGCCGACGGACGACGACGAGGGGAGGUUAGG